rnacentral:rRNA from 1 species
AAUCUGGCUUCAGGUUCGGGACAACAGUUGGAAACGGCUGCUAAUACCGGAUGUGCCCUUGGGUGAAAGAUUUAUCACCUGAAGAUGAGCUCGCGUCUGAUUAGCUAGUAGGUGUGGUAAGAGCGCACCUAGGCGACGAUCAGUAGCUGGUCUGAGAGGAUGAUCAGCCACACUGGGACUGAGACACGGCCCAGACUCCUACGGGAGGCAGCAGUGGGGAAUUUUCCGCAAUGGGCGAAAGCCUGACGGAGCAAUACCGCGUGAGGGAGGAAGGCUCUUGGGUUGUAAACCUCUUUUCUCAGGGAAGAAUGAUGACGGUACCUGAGGAAUAAGCAUCGGCUAACUCCGUGCCAGCAGCCGCGGUAAUACGGAGGAUGCAAGCGUUAUCCGGAAUGAUUGGGCGUAAAGCGUCCGCAGGUGGCAAUGUAAGUCUGCUGUCAAAGCGUCUGGCUCAACCAGAUAAAGGCAGUGGAAACUACAUAGCUAGAGUAAGGUAGGGGUAGAGGGAAUUCCUGGUGUAGCGGUGAAAUGCGUAGAGAUCAGGAAGAACACCGGUGGCGAAAGCGCUCUGCUGGACCUUAACUGACA